GUAUUUUGUUGGCGCUAUUGCUUCCUUGCGGAAUCGCUAGCAGGUUUAAAGUAGCAGCGUAGUUUCUCGUUAUAACAAAAAGUUUGCACAUACUUAGAAGGAACCUUUAAGCCUUCUCAAUCGGUACCGUAGUCCGAUGACAUCUAAAUGAUCCUUCCGCAGGUUCACCUACGGAAA
rnacentral:misc_RNA from 1 species